CUCUCGUGCUGGAUGCUUCCUGCCCUCGAACAUCGGACUCCAAGUUCUUCAGCUUUGGGACUUGGACUGAUUUCCUUGCUCCUCAGUUUCCAGUCUACUGAGGGACUUUGUGAUCAUAUACUGAAAAGAGGACAUGGGUAGACAACGUCCUUCACUCAAUAUUGGCAGAGAAACACAGAAACCAACAGCCAUGGGAAACUGAGGGAAAAGAUAUCUGCACUUUGUCUCUGAUCCCCUCUCAGUUCCCCAAGCAGAGGAGUCAGGACUUGAGAAGAGACAGAAACGACGUCUAAUGCAAAGACAGACCCCCACCCCUGAAUUGAGAGAGAGGAAGAGAAUAAAGGCAUCAGAAGAGACCCAUGCACAAACAGAAUAAAAUUGAGAAUCACAGAUUCUCAAUACUUUGCAGAGCACAGAAUAGAUUGACCUGUCUAGACUUCAGAAAG
rnacentral:lncRNA from 10 species